UAGCAUAAAACGCUUGUGUUAGCGUUACCGUGCGACGCAACGCUACCGCAAAGAAAGGCUGCACUGCGCGGCACAAGGUAGUGUUUUAGAAUAGCGGAACGGAGAAAAGCGCUAACCGAAAUACACUUGGGCGCCAUCUCGAGGCGGAUACAGCAAACAUGAGCAAACAUGAGCAAACCUACUCGUUAAGCCUACUGCGCCGCUAAACGAGAACGUAUAUCGUAAACAGCGUCCAUUUGUCACCUGUACGCCUCUGUCGAAGCAUCAUCACACAAA
rnacentral:lncRNA from 1 species